GUCCGCGCGGUAAACGAUGGAUGCCCGCUGUGCGCCAUUUUGGUGUGCGGCCAAGCGAAAGCGUUAAGCAUCCCACCUGGGGAGUACGCCGGCAACGGUGAAACUCAAAGGAAUUGACGGGGGCCCGCACAAGCGGAGGAACAUGUGGUUUAAUUCGAUGAUACGCGAGGAACCUUACCCGGGCUUGAACUGCCGGUGAACGAUACAGAGAUGUUGAGGCCCUUCGGGGCGCCGGUGGAGGUGCUGCAUGGUUGUCGU
rnacentral:rRNA from 1 species